GACGAACGCUGGCGGCGUGCUUAACACAUGCAAGUCGAACGGAAAGGCCCCUUUGGGGGUACUCGCGGGGCGAACGGGUGAGUAACACGGGCGUAACCUGCCCUUGACUUCGGGGUAACGUCAGCAAACUGGGGCUAAUACCGGGUAGGAAUCCUGGCUGCAGGGUGGGGGUGGGAACGCUUCGGCGGAUUUGGAUGGACUCGCGGGUGAUCAGCUUGUUGGUGGGGUAGUGGCUUACCAAGGCGUUGACGGGUAGCCCGCCUGAGAGGGCGACCGACCAGACUGGGAGUGAGAUACGGCCCAGACUCCUACGGGAGGCAGCAGUGGGGGAUAUUGCACAAUGGGCGGGAGCCUGACGCAGCAAGGCCGCGUGCGGGAUGACGGCCUUCGGGUUGUAAACCGCCUUCAGCAGGGGCGAAGCUUGUGGUGACGGUACCUGAAGAAGAAGCACCGGCUAACUACGUG
rnacentral:rRNA from 1 species